rnacentral:lncRNA from 9 species
GGCCAAAUGGUCCCGCCGAGAGCAGAGCGUGGAGGUGGCGCGGGCGCGGCGGUGGGCCUGGGGGUCGUCACUCCUGCAGCUGGCAGCCGCCGCUCCGCGCUUCCUGCCGCAUCUCUCUUGCCCGGCGGGCGCCCAUCCCGUCCCGCCCCGGCCCGUGGACCUGCAAACCGAGGCUCAGAGCGGAUUUGCCCUAGGGGCUUUCACGAGCUUAGCAGAGGGGUUCCCGGCGGGGUUCCCUGGGGUCACGGGGCGCGAUGAGCAGCGAAGAAAGGAGGCGAGGAGCUGCGUCCGGGCUUGGUGCUCUCUGAACGCGAGGAGGCGGGAUGCGCUCGCCGGGGUCCAUGAUGUGCUCGGCGCCCGUCCCUGGGCCCGGGAAUGCGGCCGCUGGGGAACCGGGGCCAGCGAAUUCGCCCGCGAUCUCCGCGGAUCCCAGGACUGCCAGCGCUUUGGCCCUAGAUGGACGGUGGGGAAUGGGGUAGGGGGCUCCGGAACCCCUAACGUGGAUUACUUGGUGCAUAUCGCCCGGGCAUGGAAGACCCACCACCUCGUCUCCACCCGUGGAUUGAUGCCUUCUGCCGAACAGGUCGCUUACCUGGAGGUGGAACCAGAGAUUCGUGGCUGCUGUGAGUAGGUGCUUCUGACGGGGAAAGAAGGACAAGAUGAGAGGCCUGGAAGGAAGGACCGAUACAGGGCUGUUCUUCCUCGCCCACGCUUCCCACCAGGAACUUCUGUGGAGCCAGAGUUUGCCGCCAGGACCCCCACAGGACCUGGGUGAAACAGGACCAUCUCUUAAGAGGCAAGAGCUCUUGAUUUGAUUGAGGAUUCUUAUUUUGGAGAACAAAGCAACUUCCAGAUUUGAGAAGACCUACAGUUGAAGAAGACACCAUUGUCCCGGAUCCCUUGUUCUUCCUUCGCGUGGGAAAUGUUUCUUGGCGGGUUCCUGGUCUUAAGACUCCCCCACACCGGCCCCGGGGAAGCCAAGGACUUUCUGCCACACCCUUCCUCGCCCCCCACCUCCCACGUCCGCUGUGCCUUUGGACUCGGCAAUUCUUCUUGUUUGCUCCAUUAUCUUCCAGCCGGAUACAGAGUGAAUAGUUAACUACCCGCAGGUCAAUGGGGUCUUAAUUUUUGUUCCUGCUCCCUCUACAGAGGCCAGUGUCUGUGUGUUGCUAUGCAAGCGGCCUUGGAAUUGCAUCCCUUCUCAUUGAUUUGGGAUCUGGCCCCCGCAGGUUCCAGAGCAAUGCGGGUCCAGGCAGAAAUUCUUCAGGCUCUCAGGAUGUUGGAGGGGGCGCUGGCCGCGAGCUGGACCAUGAAGGCUGGCGUUCCCCACAUUCAGCUUUCUUGGGUUCGGAUCAUAAGCAGGUGUAGAUCUGGAGAAGCAGAAAAUGAACACAUUUUCUACUGACACCGAUGCACGGUCAACGGUGAAGACCUUCUCCCAGCUAGCAUUUGGGUUCUGUGUCCAAACGCGGCGCUUCAUGGCAGAGUAUCCAGCCACCAGAGUUGGUGUGUCUUGAGGACCUGAAUUCUUGAGUGUGUGCUGGUGACACAGCCCUCUGACAGUCGAUGGGGCCUCACAAAACACAAGUCCUGCCUUUUCCUUUUCACUCUGUGGCCGUCAUACAUACGGCUAAAAACAUUUCCUAGAGAUCAGUCAUGGUUCAGUCGUGUCCAAAACGCAGAGCCAAAGAUGCAUUUUCUCUUUUCACAGCAAAUGAAUGACUUGCCUUCGGAAAAAGAAUGAAAGCCAGACAUUCUGCAUCUUUCCCGUGUUGUAGAUGAUGCAUUUGGAUGACCACUUUGUGACUUUGGUGUCUUAGAAGGGAAGCAGUGGGGUCCUUGGCAUCUCAGAUUCACCACAAAACAGACGAGGAGAACUUCUGGAGGAUGGUUUGUGCUUUUGAAAUGGGAGGCUUGUUUGUGGGCUUUUACCUUCCUUCCUUGACCUGCAGACACCUCAUUGCAUUAGAUUCCUUUGGGUUUUAAGAAGCAGAGACUUGCUGAUACUGCUCCGUACGUGCUGGUUUGUUUCGAGUUGCCAUGGACGUAAAGAAGAAAGGAAGCAGCCCGCCGAGGCGCUCUCCACCUAGGCCUGCCCAAGAAGCCCAAGUCGUUCCAGAUAGCCAGGGAUAGCAGAACCGAACCACCCUGGCCAUCUUGAUCUUCUGUUUGCACCAGCAUCCACUGUUCCCAGGAUCCUACCAUGGUGAUGAGCUGAGGGUGACUCAGUUGGCCCAGGACUGAGGAGUUUCCUGGGAUGCAGGACUUUUUAGUGCUAAACCUAGGACAGUCCUAAGCAAACUGGAACAACCAGUCACCCUACUGGGUGACUCGAGGACCCUGCCUCUCUUCUACUUUCCCUGCUGUGACUGGCUGAUGCUCUUGAUGGGUCUGGCCAGUCGCCAUUCAAAACUCUUGCGUCAGGCAACUUCAUUGGCCACUGGGCUACCUAUAGAUGGGUGCCCGUGGACCCAGCACCAACCCAUCUUGACCAGAUUUGUUGUUUCCAGGGUCAUAGGGUUGCAUAAUCUAGAAUAAAAGCCUGGCUGUAAACAACCAGCUGAGACCACUUCCUUCAGAAGACUGCUGUGGACAGGUGGCCCUGGCAGGCAUUCAAGGUAAAAUGAGUGAGUCAGGCCACACGCUUCCCAAAGCCUCUGCCAGCGCUGCCAUCCACAGGGCUGCCAUAUUGGAUGCAGUUCAUGACAAAGGAUUUGCUACUUUUUGUUCUCUCUGGCUCUCCUCCUGCCUUCCCUUCAGCUUGCUCCAAGAUCAUGUGGACACACACCUCAGCAACCUCUGCCCCUCUGACCUCAUCCAAGUCACUGGCCUUGGGAGGCAGCCCAGGUGUUUCGAUUGGGCCAACUGCUGACAUUCCCUGCUGGUGACAACUUCUCCUCAAAGGUAUGUGGUCCCAGCAUAAUUGGCUUCCAACAGGCAAGUCUUCCAGAAGCUUGCAGCCCCAACAGUGCCUGCUGUGGACGUGGAGACAGAUCUCAACAGGCCGAUGAGCAGGCAGGCCGGGCACCAGCCACAGGGAAGAACCUCAGGCCAGCUGCCAAGUUUCAGCCAGGAGGGAACAUCGCUGGAGUUUAUAACCCUGCACAAGAGGCAGCCGGUAGGGAAAGCUCCACCACGCCCUUAAUACCACCGCAUGACUCGUGAGCACCUUGCUGUUAAUUAACAGCAGUAAAUACCACGGUUAUUUCAUUUUGCCUACCACUCUCUCGGGUAGCAACGUGGGGACACCCAGCCGCGAAGCACAGGGUCUCGUGUAUUAUCUUGACAGCGUUCUGCAGGGCUUGCCAAGUGGGGGCUCCAGCCGUUCGGAUGGCUCGCUCAUCCGGGGGCAAAAGGAGUCCCCUUUUUGCUGCCCACACUCUAGCGCCACACGCAGGGUAUGUGGCCAUGACGUCUCUGGAAAGUUCAAGUUGGAACCUGCUGGGUGUUCUUGAACACUCCAGCAAGUGCUUAUUUGAUAUAAACAAGUCUCCAAUCGUCUGCAGGCCUCUCUGCUUCCUGAGAGGCCUCCCGAAUGAUGGGUGGCUCUCACCCGCGGUUGACAUGUGGUCUUUCCCAGGGCCCACAGCUUGGAAGGUCUCACUCAGGGAGCAGUCCCCACCUUUCCACCAAAACUUUAUCUUCCCCAUGGAGAUGUGUCCUCCUGGGAUGUUCAAACCGGACGUAGCCCGUAGCAGUCUUUUUGCAUUUUUUUUUAAAUUCCCCAAAACCCUGUAUCGAGGACUUCUUCAUGCCAGACACUGGAGAGAGAAAGAUAGACGGGAAGGGAUCCUGGCCUUGAGGAACUCAUGGUCGAGCAAAGUAGAUGGAUGAGUAACAAGUUCAACCGCAGUGUUCCAACAUACAUGCCGUGACGGCCGAGGUUCGGGGUGCUACAGUCAUCCAUGGGGAAAGCACCCUUUUAGGGGGUGAGAGAUGAAAUGAAAUUUAAGUGUUGAAGGCUGAAGAGGAGUUUUACGGGGAAGAGUGCCAAGUGCACCGCCAAGUACAAAGAUCUCAAGGUAUAGGAGAGCCACGCAUGUUCCCUGGAGGGAGCCCAAGUUCAUGGUCAUUGCUUAUCUCAGAGGGGUCGCAUCUCGUGAACAUCUCUGAUGUUCUGAUUCUUGCUUCCCUGCACAUUUUCAGCACAUGCUGGUGUGUUUGUGUUAGCAGGCUAGGCCUGCUUAAAACAUCACACCGCAACAAGGUUGAGCUUCUUUUAUGUUUUGUUUCCUCCUUCUCCUCGCCUCCAAAUAUGGGGCUCAAUCUCCAGUCGUUUCAGAUAUGUAGCCUUUAAAGGUAGGGUUCAAAUCCUUCCCUUUCAUAAUUUACCCUGAUUCCCCCUUGUCAACUGAGGCCUGGAAACUGGGAAGUAAAGGAGAGCCAUUGCCUUUUCUCCAGCCCACAAGUCAUUUCCCUCCAUCCAUGCUUUGCAGGACAAUUGUCUAGGCGGCCCAGCGGAUGUGUCUCCUAUUUUGUGGGUCUCCAAUGAUAACCAUUGCCUUAUGGCUCAUCUCCACGUCCUGUGGGCACUGUGGGUACCCUCAGUGAGAUCCACAUGACAGGCAUGAGGGAGGAUGGGGACAUUUCCUGGUACGACGAGCCUUUGGGUUGCUGAAGUUCCAUGAAGUGUGGAAUUCAUCCACAGUCAUUCUCUCACUCACCCACUGGGAACCAAUCAAAGGGCCAGGUGCUGGGGUUGCCACACUGGACCAAGCAAAUGGUACCUGCCUCUGUGAACCUUACACUCACAGUAUCCUGAUUCAGAGUGCUCCUGUGGUGACGCCUAGUGAAGCUCAGAUCUGGGGAUCUGGGUGCCCUAGUACCCAGCCACCUUCCAAGAAGGGCACUGCCCAUGGGAAAAUGGCCUAUCCCUUUUGAGAUGGGACCAAGAAACCACCAUGAACGUGGAGCAGCCACAGCUCCCAGCAAGGGUCAAGGUAGCCCCUGAAACAUCACACGGAUGUUGAGAAGAAGAUGCUCUGGGGUGAGAGCGGGGGUGGCUGGUGCUUUGGACGUUCAGCUUUAGAGUGAGUAUUUCAUUUAUGCAAGAGAUGUGAAAAUCUGAGAAGCAUCUGGUUCCUCCAUGGAGAAAAAGCAUUUCACAUGUCUAAACUCAGUCUCCUUCACCCACUGGCUUUGAAAGUGCAGACGUCUAAGCCCUGGUCGUCCUUUCUGGAAAGGAGCACGUGAUGUGAACAAGCAUCUCUCUAGCAGACUGGCAGACCCCGUCCAGGCUGGGGCUCCGAGCCUGUGGCUGUUGCCUCCAGUGUCUGCCCCAGAACAAGCCCCUCUACUCGGGCAGGGGUGUCUGUCUGUUUCGCUCCUGCCACACCCCCAGUGCCCAGCAUGGUGCCUGCGACGUCGUGAGGGAUCAGUACAUUUUUGUGGAAUGAGUGGUUCAAGGCUCAUUUGGACCCAGACACAACCACCCAGCUGCCAACACCUUGUGAAAAGGAAGGCGAGGUGCUUGUUCUCCUUUGGCUUAAUAACAGUCUGCAGGAACUGUUGUCUUUUAUAUGCCUGCUUAGCUCAUUGUGAAGGCCCCGUAAAUAUUAAUUGAUGGACAAGAAGCUCUGGGGUUUGGCUCCAGACAGAUCCGAGUCCUAUUUUUUUGGAGGACGUUUAUAAGGGCAGGGGAUGUGGGGCCUUACGUUAUGAGUCUGGGGAGACUCCCAGGACCCUGUCCUUCCCCUCCCAAAGCCGAAGCCUGGGAGAAGUGGGCGGACCCAGAGGGAAGCACCUAAUUACAUUCACAGGUUAUAUAAUUACACUUUCAGGUUCCCACCGGUGGUGGGUUUGAAAGGCGCUUUGAGUAAUUUCAUUUCAUCAAGGCUUUGUUUUCCUAGGCUUUGUUUCCCUCACUCUUUAUUCUCCGUCCUUGGUCUCGAGCUGGUGCCUUCCAGGAAAAGCCAGCUGAUGCUAUGUUGCCUAGGUGAGCCCCUCAACGGACUUCCCGUCUACACACAACACAGCGGAGAUCUGGAGGAACAGUCUCGCCCAGGGUUUAGCAACAGGAUCAAAGGCUCUGAAUUCAGCCCCUGCUUCUCUGCCUCCCCAAGUACCAUUCAUGGUUCAUGGACAUGGUUCACAGUCCAUUCCCCUGAGGGUUGGCAUGGUCUUGUCCCCAGACCGGCAGCCUCAGCAUCACCCAAGAGGCUGCUAGAAACACAAAUUUGCGGGGUCCCCCCGCCCAGAACUCCCAGACACUCCAGGGUGAGGCCCAGCAAUCUGUGUUUUAACAAGCCCUCUAGGGGAUUCUAAUGCAUAUGUUCCUGUUUGGAAAUCACUGCUCUAGACUCAAGAGUCUAAAAGGAUGAUUCCCAGGCUUGAGGGACUGUUUACAACAUUCGGCCAAGCAUCCCAGGACCUAGUAAAUGAGAAUCCCCUAGAGUGGAGGCCCAGCAUCAGGUUCCCGUUUAGUUCUUUGCAGCCCCAUGGGGGUUCCAAGGAUGCACGGUCCUGGCCAAGGGCCCCCGGUCCAGCGUGACGUUCCUUGCAUCGGGCAUGUGCUGGAGCCGUGCCCGGGAGCCGAACGCCGCAGAGGAGGCAGCAGUAGGAGCAAAGAUGUGGGCCUCGAAGAACUGGCCCAAGAACGCAACCAGCUCCUGCACGUAGCCCCCACUUUACCCCAGGUCCCAACUGCAGCUGGUGACGCUGCCUCUGAACCUGCAGAGGCUGUGACUCCGGGACCUGUUUGGGAAGGCGUCAUGUCACGCUUUCACGAGGAACCAAAAUGGCUCUGUGACACCUCAGUUCGGGGAGAGAAGCCUGUGUUGGGAUGGUUUUCCAACUUUAGACGUAGAUCUCAACCCCUGCAUGCACAGUUAAAUCUCUUCCAGACUUUUUUGUUUUGUUUUGUUACAUUUUUUAAAAACCUGAUGCCUGGACCCCACUCCCCGAAACUUGGAUUCAAUUGAUCUGAGGGAGAGUGUAAGCUUUUCUUUUCGGAACUCCCUUUGGAUUCCAGUGUGCGGCUAGAAUUGGGAACCACUGCUUUAGAAAUUCACUGAAUAAGGAACUACCCACCCAUCACGUGCUCAGAACUUUAAAAUAUCAGAGCAUUUAAGUUCUUCCCGUAGCCACCCUCACCCCAGUGGAGCCUUGAGAAUGAACGCAGCCUCCGAGAGAUGCAGAGGCAGACGCUAAGGGGAGCCUUGAUUCCUGACCCACAGAAAGUAUGAGACAAUUUAAACCACUGUGUUUGGGAGUUCCCACUGUGGUGCAAUCCGAAUCCGACUAGUAUCCAUGAGGAUGCGGGUUCAAUCCCUGGCCUCACUCAGUGGGUUAAGGAUCCGGCAUUGCCAUGAGCUGUGGCGUAGGCCGGCCUCUCUAGGUCCAAUUGGACCUCUAGCCUGGGAACUUCCAUAUGCCUUGGGUGUGGACCUAACCCCCCCCAAAUAUAUAUAUAUAUAAAGAAAUGAAUAAAUAAAGCUCUGUGUUUGUUACACAGCAGUAGAUAGCCGAUACAGUUUCAGUGCUGCUUAAGUUGGUUCAGAGAUUUUUCCUGAAUGUCUCAUCUUUUUAUUUAAAAAAAAAAGAACCCACUUUAUUGAGGUAUGAUUGACAUACAGAGAGCUGUACACAUUGAAUGUAUAGCACUUAAUAAAUUUGAACAUCAGUAUAUUGUC